rnacentral:rRNA from 1 species
AGCGAACGCUGGCGGCAGGCUUAACACAUGCAAGUCGAACGGGCUUCUUCGGAAGUCAGUGGCAGACGGGUGAGUAACACGUGGGAACGUGCCCUUCGGUUCGGAAUAACUCAGGGAAACUUGAGCUAAUACCGGAUACGCCCUUUCGGGGUAAGGUUGACUGCCGAAGGAUCGGCCCGUGUCUGAUUCGCUUGCUGGUGGGGUAACGGCCUACCCAGGCGACGAUCAGUAGCUGGUCUGAGAGGAUGAUCAGCCACACUGGGAGUGAGACACGGACCAGACUCCUACGGGAGGCAGCAGUGGGGAAUAUUGGACAAUGGGCGCAAGCCUGAUCCAGCCAUGCCGCGUGAGUGAUGAAGGCCUUAGGGUUGUAAAGCUCUUUUGUCCGGGACGAUAAUGACGGUACCGGAAGAAUAAGCCCCGGCUAACUUCGUG